rnacentral:rRNA from 1 species
AGAGUUUGAUCCUGGCUCAGGAUGAACGCUAGCUACAGGCUUAACACAUGCAAGUCGAGGGGCAGCGGGAUUGAAGCUUGCUUCAAUUGCCGGCGACCGGCGCACGGGUGAGUAACACGUAUCCAACCUUCCGUUUACUCGGGGAUAGCCUUUCGAAAGAAAGAUUAAUACCCGAUAGUAUGGUGAGAUUGCAUGAUAGCACCAUUAAAGAUUCAUCGGUAAACGAUGGGGAUGCGUUCCAUUAGGUAGUAGGCGGGGUAACGGCCCACCUAGCCUACGAUGGAUAGGGGUUCUGAGAGGAAGGUCCCCCACAUUGGAACUGAGACACGGUCCAAACUCCUACGGGAGGCAGCAGUGAGGAAUAUUGGUCAAUGGGCGAGAGCCUGAACCAGCCAAGUAGCGUGAAGGAUGAAGGUCCUACGGAUUGUAAACUUCUUUUAUAAGGGAAUAAAACCUCCCACGUGUGGGAGCUUGUAUGUACCUUAUGAAUAAGCAUCGGCUAACUCCGUGCCAGCAGCCGCGGUAAUACGGAGGAUGCGAGCGUUAUCCGGAUUUAUUGGGUUUAAAGGGAGCGCAGACGGGUCGUUAAGUCAGCUGUGAAAGUUUGGGGCUCAACCUUAAAAUUGCAGUUGAUACUGGCGUCCUUGAGUGCGGUUGAGGUGUGCGGAAUUCGUGGUGUAGCGGUGAAAUGCUUAGAUAUCACGAAGAACUCCGAUUGCGAAGGCAGCUCACUAAACUGUAACUGACGUUCAUGCUCGAAAGUGUGGGUAUCAAACAGGAUUAGAUACCCUGGUAGUCCACACGGUAAACGAUGGAUACUCGCUGUUGGCGAUAUACGGUCAGCGGCUUAGCGAAAGCGUUAAGUAUCCCACCUGGGGAGUACGCCGGCAACGGUGAAACUCAAAGGAAUUGACGGGGGCCCG